rnacentral:lncRNA from 1 species
UGGAUGCUUUUUAAAAAAAGUCCUUAAUGUCCUUUUAGGUUUAUAUUUUAUUUUAUUUUUUAAUUUUAUUUAUUUAUCUGACAGAGAGAAAAAGUGAGAGAGCAAGAGUGGAGUGAGGGGCUGAAGGAGAAGCAGACUCCCCAUUGAGCAGGGAGCCCAAUGAAGAGCUCCAUCCUGGAACUCCAGGAUUAUGACCUGAGCUGAAGGUCAUAUGAACAAAGGGAAGAACUUCUAAAGUAAUGGAAUGAGAAUGGGUGGAUUCUGUCAAAUGUAGAUCCAAAUCCUGAUCCUGUCCCUAAUUAGCUAUAGCUGUGUCAUCUGGGGCGCGUCUGUAAUAACAGGAAAGCCACAAAAUAUUUGAAGACUAAAGAGAGAGACCACACUCAGACCUCCAACUAUAGCUCAGAGGGGAAAACAAACUGCCCUCAGAUAUGUGGGAAGACUGACAAGAAUUCUCGUGCAGUCCUCAAAGCAAAUUUCAAUGUUGGAUGGAUUUGGCCCCAAAUAAUUUGCAAAAAAGAAACCUGCACUUGCUGUGGAUAUUGACAGGUUAGAAAUCACCUAAUAGAUGUUCUAAAUGGCUGAGAUUUGAAGAUAUCUGGAAACACUUACAUAAGAGAAGUGGUUGAAGGGAUCAGAGAAGUUUGAACUGAGAAGGGAAUAAAGGAGAUUUGGUAAUUUUUGCA